GAGCGGAGUAUUUCCUUCGGGGAAUGCUUAGCGGCGGACGGGUGAGUAACACGUAGGCAACCUGCCCUCAAGACUGGGAUAACUACCGGAAACGGUAGCUAAUACCGGAUAAUUUCUUUCUUCUCCUGAGGAGAGAAUGAAAGGCGGAGCAAUCUGCCACUUGGGGAUGGGCCUGCGGCGCAUUAGCUAGUUGGUGGGGUAACGGCCCACCAAGGCGACGAUGCGUAGCCGACCUGAGAGGGUGAACGGCCACACUGGGACUGAGACACGGCCCAGACUCCUACGGGAGGCAGCAGUAGGGAAUCUUCCGCAAUGGGCGAAAGCCUGACGGAGCAACGCCGCGUGAGUGAUGAAGGUUUUCGGAUCGUAAAGCUCUGUUGCCAGGGAAGAACGUCCGGUAGAGUAACUGCUACCGGAGUGACGGUACCUGAGAAGAAAGCCCCGGCUAACUACGUGCCAGCAGCCGCGGUAAUACGUAGGGGGCAAGCGUUGUCCGGAAUUAUUGGGCGUAAAGCGCGCGCAGGCGGUCAUUUAAGUCUGGUGUUUAAACCUUGGGCUCAACCUGGGGUCGCACUGGAAACUGGGUGACUUGAGUACAGAAGAGGAAAGUGGAAUUCCACGUGUAGCGGUGAAAUGCGUAGAUAUGUGGAGGAACACCAGUGGCGAA
rnacentral:rRNA from 2 species